rnacentral:rRNA from 1 species
UACGGGGGGGGCAAGCGUUGUUCGGAAUUACUGGGCGUAAAGGGUUCGUAGGUGGCUUGUUAAGUCAGACGUGAAAUCCCUCGGCUCAACCGGGGAACUGCGUCUGAGACUGAUGAGCUCGAGUGCAGGAGAGGAACGCGGAAUUCCAGGUGUAGCGGUGAAAUGCGUAGAUAUCUGGAGGAACACCGGUGGCGAAGGCGGCUUUCUGGACUGCAACUGACACUGAGGAACGAAAGCCAGGGGAGCAAACGGG